rnacentral:tRNA from 1 species
GCGGGCGUAGCUCAGUCGGCUAGAGCACCAGCUUCCCAAGCUGGGGGUCGCGGGUUCGAGUCCCGUCGCCCGCUCCA